UUGCCAGUCAUGUUUGGUUCUAUCUCAGG
rnacentral:piRNA from 1 species